rnacentral:rRNA from 1 species
CAGUCGCCGCGGGAAUACAGAGGGUGCGAGCGUUAAUCGGAUUUACUGGGCGUAAAGCGUGCGUAGGCGGCUUCUUAAGUCGGAUGUGAAAUCCCUGAGCUUAACUUAGGAAUUGCAUUCGAUACUGGGAAGCUAGAGUAUGGGAGAGGAUGGUAGAAUUCCAGGUGUAGCGGUGAAAUGCGUAGAGAUCUGGAGGAAUACCGAUGGCGAAGGCGGCAACCUGGUCCAUGACUGACGCUGAGGCGCGAAAGCGUGGGGAGCAAACAGGAUUAGAUACCCGUGUAGUCCCUGUCUCUUAUAC